rnacentral:ribozyme from 12 species
UAAAAAAAUCGGUCGAAUGAACAAAAAUUGUUUUUAUUUUAAAAUUUGUAAAAUUUUUGGAAAGCAUUUUUUUAAUUUUUUAAUUUUUUUGUCUUU